CCCUCCUUUCCGCCCUCUCCGCCCUCCGGGUCUCUGCGCCUGGCGCGGAACUGCGGCCUUUUUGUCCCACGGAGUUGGUCGGCGGAUCCGCUGCUACUUUGUAGUGAGUGGCGGGCAGGGCCUCUACCGCCACUGCAGGAACCCCGACCUGGGCUGACCUUGGGCCCUGGGACGUUGUCUCUGACGUCUCGAAGACAGAGCGAUCUCAGUUCUAAAGUGCAGGAUCUCUGUCUUUGCGCAUCUCCAAAACUUCGACUUUCAACUCUAUGGAACUCCCACUGAUUCCUGAAAGAAGACUCUUCCCUGCCAGAGGAGGCUGCUACAAAGAAUGAGUAACCUGAAUGUCUAUUCCCUUUUUACCUCCAUGGCACUAACCUUCAUACUUACCCUCUUGCCAAACCCAACCUUUCCUAAACCAAAUCUAGCUAAUGUCCGGGAGUGUCCUAAGGCCUGCAUUUCCCAGGGUUACUUUGUGGCCUAUACCCAUGUCCCCAAAGAAUGCUAUGGUUGAGCAACCCUCUGCAAAUGGGUCAGACUAGGUAUUGGACAGGUCAAUCAAAUUUCAAAGCUAGACUAAAUCAAUGUCCCUGGCCAGAUCAAGCCACUCUCAAGACUUACUGCUGGACUUUCCAGACCCACAUGGGAAUGUCGGAUGGGGGUGGGGUGCAGGAUCGGGCCCGCAAAGAACACAUUUUUACUGAGCUGCCCCAAGUACUACCUCCAUAAUAUUUUCUUUCCCACAAGGCGACCCAAUCAGAUGGGGAACGAUACCUAAGGACCCUGUCUUAAUUUAGAUAAUUAAUACUACUCACUAUCUGCUAAAUCUUGCUAAUCCUUCUUUGGCUCAAGGAUGUUGGAUGUGCCUAAAGGCUGGCUUCUCCCAUAUAAUAGCAACUCCUUUAGACCUAAACAACUCAUUGGUAUUCAAUGAGAUCUCCCCAGACUCCGCCGACAUUUCAUCUAAGCUUGUGCUCCAAUGUGUUUUAACUCAUCAAGGAUUACAUCAGGUGGGGACUUGCAGGAUAGUCAGUGUAGACAGAUCAUCCCAUACACAGUGUCUCAAAACUCCCACUCACCAGUCUCCAAGGCUUCCUCCUUGUGCAGGACAAGUAUAUAUCAUUGCCUACCCUCCAGAUGGAAGGGUAUAUGUGCUUUAGUCCUCUUAUUUCCACCUACAGAGGUCAUCUCAGGGCAUGAGGAAGUCCCUCUCUCAUGACUCAUAUGAGCCCUUGACACAAAUGGGCAAUUCAAUUUGUUCCCAUACUAGCCACCCUGGGGGCUACAGCAGGCCUAGCCACAGGAAUAACCUCAUCCAUUACUUAUUAUCAUCAGCUCUGCAGAUCAGCAGAUAGGGGAUAUCCAACAGGAAGCCACGUCUAUACUAACCCUUCAGAAUCAACUGGACUCCUUUGCCGCUGUGGUCCUAUAAAACUGCUGUGGACUGGACAUACUAACAGCAGAACAAGGAGGCCUCUGCCUAUACCUACAAGAGGAAUGUUUUUAGUCAACCAGUCAGGGGUAGUGAAGGACAAGAAGAGCAGGUAGAAAAGAGGAGAGAACAACUAGGCCAACAGUUCCCCUGGGGAAUGCUCAAUCUAGUGUGGCCUUGGCUUCCCCGCCCUGCAGGACUCCUAUUAGUCCUCUAUAUGUUUCUCCUAAUAGGACCAUGCCUGUUAAAUUGCCUACAGAAGUUCAGAUGCAAGAUUAGAUACACAAAUUCACCAACCAGUCAGUCAACUACUUCUCCUCCAAGACUACCCACCCCUGACACCCAAGACGAGAUCUAGAACUCUUUGUCAAGUCCUCAGACUCCAGAGACUCUGCCCCCACCUAAAACCUUCCCUGACCCCUGUUACAGGAAUAAGACUCUUCGCCUCUAAUCAGCAGGAAAAAGCUGCAGAAGAAAGACCUUUAUCCCCACUCCUGGUAUCUGUAAAAAUAAAAAGGGAGGAAUGUUGGCAUCAGAUCUGCCAUUUUAGCUCAGGAGCCAUUUUAUCUAGGAACUCCUAAAUUUUAAUUCUGAGGCAAUGUCGAUCAGCUUCUUGUAAAACAUGUAACUGCUAAAAGGUCAGCCCCACCCCAGCCCAUGUUGCAACCCCUAAGCGUGCAUGUGAAAUUCCUCUUGCAGCCUAUAAAGCCCUCUGAGUGCUGACACUGCUGCUCUCUGUGGAGGGACAGUCUUGCUGGUUUGCUCUGAGACUGACAAUAAAUUUCGUGUGAGAUUUGGUGUGAA